rnacentral:rRNA from 1 species
UACGAAGGGGGCUAGCGUUGUUCGGAUUUACUGGGCGUAAAGCGCACGUAGGCGGAUCGUUAAGUCGGGGGUGAAAUCCUGGAGCUCAACUCCAGAACUGCCUUCGAUACUGGCGAUCUUGAGUCCGGAAGAGGUGAGUGGAACUCCUAGUGUAGAGGUGGAAUUCGUAGAUAUUAGGAAGAACACCAGUUGCGAAGGCGGCUCACUGGUCCGGUACUGACGCUGAGGUGCGAAAGCGUGGGGAGCAAACAGG